GGGUACUUUUUUUUUGCCCUUCCGAAAAGAAUGAAAUGCAUAGAGACCAUCCUUUUGCUGUGUUGCGGCAUGCUCCUCAUAUUUACAGAUUAGCAAGGGGCCGCAGGCCCUACUUAGUUUAUUGUUGGCAUUUAUCAUGAAAAAAGUGGGCGCUGACGGCUCGGCCCCGUUGUUUUAUUCCUACACGGCUCGGCCCCGUUUCUAGUACAAAAAUUCAGCUCAACAAAGAUGGUAUGUUACUGAUGAAACUAGUCAUGACUUGCUUAUAGGAAUAUGUAGUUGAAGCUCCUGCCUUAUAUAAAGAAAACAAGAGUCUAAAAGCCAGCUUCUUGAAGUGCAGAUUUGCUAUCUGAGUUGAUUAGAAGAGAAAAACAAGCAAAGAUCAAACUAGAACCAGAUAUUGAUGUCUUCAUGAAGGCAGCUGCAGCUGGAGGCCAGUAGGAAAGUCUGAUAAUAGAUUAUAUGCUGAAGAUCUUGGGGUUGGAUGGAAUGCGGCGAGGUAUCUCGGGCGGACAAAGGAAGAGAGUUACAACAGGAGAGAUGUUGGUUGGAGCAGCAAAAGUUCUAUUAAUGGAUGAAAUAUCUACUGGCUUGGAUAGCUCCACAACUUUUCAAAUUGUGAAAUCUAUCAGACAAUCUAUUCACAUUUUUGUAGAACUGCAGUUAUCUCUUUGUUACAGCCAGCACCAAGAGACUUAUGAACUUUUUGAUGACAUUAUUAUUUUAUCUGAUGGUCAAAUUGUCUACCAAGGACCACUUGAACAUAUUCUUGAAUUCUUUGAUUCUCUUAGUUUCAAAUGUCCUGAUAGGAAAGGUGUUGCUGACUUCCUUCAAGAAGUAAGUCAAAAGUUUUAAUUUUUUAUUAACAUUAUGUAUGUGAGUAUUCGUUUGUUACAA